rnacentral:rRNA from 1 species
CAGCCGUAAACUAUGCGCGUUAGGUGUACUGGUGACCACGAGUCACCGGGGUGCCGAAGGGAAACCGUGAAACGUGCCGCCUGGGAAGUACGGUCGCAAGGCUGAAACUUAAAGGAAUUUGGCGGGGGAGCACCACAACGGGUGGAGCCUGCGGUUUAAUUGGACUCAACGCCGGAAAUCUCACCGGAUAGGACAGACAUAUGAUAGUCGGGCUGAAGACUCUACUUGAUGAUCUGAGAGGUGGUGCAUGGCGUCAGUGACU